AGAUAUGUAAAUUAAAACUCCUACACUUUAAAACCACAAACUCACGUACGCUUUGCAAUUUCUAUCUCACUUUCUCUCUCUCAUUUUUCUUCAGCCUCUUUUCUUUUUCUUCAGAUUAAAGGCAUUUAUUGUCAGAGGCUUCAACAAAUUUUCAGGUAUUGUGAUCCAAGCAUUCAAAAUCAUUUAUAAACAGUUAAACAGUUCACGUACACACAAACUUUUUGGAUUGCAUUGACGAGUCAUUGGAAUGGAAUAUUAGAUAAGUUCGGGUGAGAGACUUUACAAGAAUUAUUAUAUGUAUUAAAC